CCUACGGGGGGCUGCAGUGGGGAAUAUUGGACAAUGGGGGGAACCCUGAUCCAGCCAGGCCGCGUGGGUGAAGAAGGCCCUCGGGUUGUAAAGCACUUUCAGGGAGGAAGAACGCCUGGUGGUUAAUACCCAUCAGGAAAGACAUCACUCACAGAAGAAGCACCGGCUAACUCCGUGCCAGCAGCCGCGGUAAUACGGAGGGUGCGAGCGUUAAUCGGAAUUACUGGGCGUAAAGCGCGCGUAGGUGGCUUGAUAAGCCGGUUGUGAAAGCCCCGGGCUCAACCUGGGAACGGCAUCCGGAACUGUCAAGCUAGAGUGCAGGAGAGGAAGGUAGAAUUCCCGGUGUAGCGGUGAAAUGCGUAGAGAUCGGGAGGAAUACCAGUGGCGAAGGCGGCCUUCUGGACUGACACUGACACUGAGGUGCGAAAGCGUGGGUAGCAAACAGGAUUAGAUACCCCGGUAGUC
rnacentral:rRNA from 1 species